UACGUAGGGGGCAAGCGUUGUCCGGAAUCAUUGGGCGUAAAGAGCGCGUAGGCGGCCCAGUAAGUCCGCUCUGAAAGUCAGAGGCUCAACCUCUGAAUGCGGGUGGAUACUGCUGGGCUAGAGUCCGGAAGAGGCGAGUGGAAUUCCUGGUGUAGCGGUGAAAUGCGCAGAUAUCAGGAGGAACACCGGUGGCGAAGGCGGGUCUCUGGGCCGAUACUGACGCUGAGGAGCGAAAGCGUGGGGAGCAAACAGG
rnacentral:rRNA from 1 species